rnacentral:rRNA from 1 species
GACGAACGCUGGCGGCGGGCUUAACACAUGCAAGUCGAACGGAAAGGCCCUGCUUUUGUGGGGUGCUCGAGUGGCGAACGGGUGAGUAACACGUGAGUAACCUUCCCUUGACUGGGGGAUAACUUCAGGAAAGUGGGGCUAAUACCUGAUAGGAGCUCCUGCUGCAUGGUGGGGGUUGGAAAGUUUCGGCGGAUGGGGAUGGACUCGCGGCUUAUCAGCUUGUUGGUGGGGUAGUGGCUUACCAAGGCUUUGACGGGUCGCCGGCAUGAGAGGGUGAACGGGGACAUUGGGACUGAGAUACGGCCCAGACUCCUACGGGAGGCAGCAGUGGGGAAUAUUGCACAAUGGGCGGGAGCGUGAUGCAGAAACGCCGCGAGCGGGAUGACGGCCUUCGGGUUGUGAACCGCUUUAGGCUGUGACGAAGCGUGAGUGACGGUAAUAGGUAAAGAAGCACCGGCUAACUACGUG